ACGCUCGACACCUACGGGGGCAGCAGUGGGGGAUAUUGCACAAUGGGGGAAACCCUGAUGCAGCAACGCCGCGUGAAGGAUGAAGGUUUUCGGAUUGUAAACUUCUGUUCUUAGUGACGAUAAUGACGGUAGCUAAGAAGAAAGCUCCGGCUAACUACGUGCCAGCAGCCGCGGUAAUCUGAGCGGGCUGGCAAGGC
rnacentral:rRNA from 1 species